CAAGUUGUAGAAAGUAUAGUCUUAAUUAUAUUUUUUUUACUAAACCUGUUCUCAUUUCAUCAAUCUAUCUCAAUUCUCAUGUGGACGAGCAGUAGUAUUUACAGCGAGUGUUCCAUGCUCCGCAGGCUCCUCUGCACUUCUCUUCCCCGUCUUCCACUAAAACCACAAUCUUCCUCCUUAACCAUUCUCAACUCCUCACUCACCCAAAAUCAAAAACAAAAACAGAAACCCUUAUCUUCCCACACCAUCAAAUCCUUCUCCACUUCCAAAAUGGGGGACGCGCCAAGACCCUUAUCCGUUCCAAUCCCCACUUUGGAAAAAGCAGAACGCUCCGACCUUCUCCGCGCCCUAGAAGCUUCCAUGGGUUCCCCUUUCAGCUCGGAGCCUCUCUCCCCAAACCCUAACUCUCUCAUCAUCGUCAUCAGCGGUCCCAGCGGCGUCGGCAAGGACGCCCUCAUCUCGCGCCUCCGCGACAACUCCCGCCUCGCCCUCCACUUCGUCGUCACCGUCACCACCCGCCCCCGCCGCCCCGCCGAGGUCGACGGGAAAGACUACAUCUUCGUAUCCAAGGAAGAGUUUCUCGGGAUGGUGGAGCGGGAGGAGCUGCUGGAGUAUGCACUGGUCUACGGUGACUACAAGGGGGUCCCGAAGCAGCAGAUUCGGGAGUGUCUCGCGAAGGGCUGCGACGUCGUUCUGAGGGUGGAUAUUCAGGGGGCUGCCACGCUGAAGAAGGUGCUCGGGAAGUCGGCGGUGUUUGUGUUUGUGGCGGCGGAGAGCGAGAUGGCGUUGGUAGAGAGGCUCGUGGACCGGAAGACGGAGACCGUGGAGUCGUUGUUGGUGAGGAUUGGUACUGCCAGGGAGGAGAUGAAGCAUGUUAAGAAUUUUGAUUAUGUUGUGGUCAAUGCUAAAGGGAAGCUUGAUAAUGCGGUCAAGUUGAUGGAGUCUAUUAUUGAUGCUGAGAAAGCUAGGGUUUCUCAGAGGACUCCUCUUUUGUAACAGACAUGCACAUGGAUUGGUGUUUCUGAGGAAAUGGCAGCUGCCCCCCCAUUGACAAUGAAUUGAAUCAAAGGAUAUAUUCAAACCAAUGUUUAUUAUGUUCUAAGUUCUCCGCAAAACUCAAAAUAUCUCAACUCUUUGCAAUGCUUCAUUGAGAUGUGCCCAAAGGUAUUUGAUAGUGAAAUUUGGAAAACAAAAAGGUAUUAGGUUUUAUGAUGGAUGAUAAACUGAGUUGGUGAUUUUUACUUGUGAGCUUUGCUUGCCUCUGACGAGCUUGAUGCUCAUUUCCUACAACUGGUGUCAUGUCAUCAUGGGAAGACAUGUUGGGGGUUAUGCUUGUGGUGAUUCUUCCAAUACUGCCUUAAAUGAAGUACAAGUUCUUGGUGAAUAGAAAUUCUAAUUACAAUGUCUAAUAUCAUUUGUUUAUUUUAUUCGGUGAUCUGGUUUGAAAUAGUUAUCUAGGAAGCAUAUUGAAUUUAGUGGAUGAAACAGUGAACUGAAUUGACACAUAUAGCCUUGAUACCUGGUGUAAUCCUUCUUAUGAACUGAUUCAAAAAGCCAGUGGCUCAAACUUAAUCACAAUAGGUUUUUAUGCAUA